GUAAUUUAUGGAGAAAAGAGGUUUCACUGGCUCAUAGUUCCACAGGCUGUACAGAAAAGCAUGGCUGGGAGGCCUCAGGAAACUUACAAUCAUGGCAGAAGGUAAAAGGGAAGCAAGCACAUCUUCACAUGUCAGAGCAGGAGAGAGAGAGAGAGAAGAGGGGAGUGCUACACACUUUCAAACAACAUCUCCUGAGAACUCUAUCACAAGAACAGCAUGGGAGAUGUUCACCCUCAUUAUUAAAUUACCUCCCACCAGGCAACACAAGGGGUUUGCAAUUCGAGAUGAGAUUUUGAUGGGAGCAUAGAGCCACAUCAUAUUAUUCUGUACCUGGCUCCUUUCAAAUUUCAUGUCAUUCUCACAAAGCUGCUGUGAAGGUCUCUGAAAUGCCCUGGAGGCAUUUUCCCUAUUGUCUUGGCCAUUAACAUUCAGCACCUCAUUACUUAUGCAAAUUUCUGCAGCCUGCUUGAAUUUCUCCCUAGAAAAGGAUUUUUUUUUUCUACCAUAUGGUCAAGCUGUAAAUUUAUUAGAUUUUUUUUAACUUAUAAAUCUAAGAAUGGUAUAUUAUUACUAAAUUUUCAACACAAAUGCCAUAUUACAUAGUCCAUUUGAAAUCACACACUAUUUAGUAUUAUCAUUCUUAAU
rnacentral:lncRNA from 1 species